AUUGAACGCUGGCGGCAGGCCUAACACAUGCAAGUCGAGCGGAUGAGGGGAGCUUGCUCCUUGAUUCAGCGGCGGACGGGUGAGUAAUGCCUAGGAAUCUGCCUGGUAGUGGGGGAUAACGUUCCGAAAGGAACGCUAAUACCGCAGACGUCCUACGGGAGAAAGCAGGGGACCUUCGGGCCUUGCGCUAUCAGAUGAGCCUAGGUCGGAUUAGCUAGUUGGUGAGGUAAUGGCUCACCAAGGCGACGAACCGUAACUGGUCUGAGAGGAUGAUCAGUCACACUGGAACUGAGACACGGUCCAGACUCCUACGGGAGGCAGCAGUGGGGAAUAUUGGACAAUGGGCGAAAGCCUGAUCCAGCCAUGCCGCGUGUGUGAAGAAGGUCUUCGGAUUGUAAAGCACUUUAAGUUGGGAGGAAGGGCAGUAAGUUAAUACCUUGCUGUUUUGACGUUACCAACAGAAUAAGCACCGGCUAACUUCGUGCCAGCAGCCGCCGUAA
rnacentral:rRNA from 1 species